rnacentral:rRNA from 1 species
CCUACGGGAGGCAGCAGUGAGGAAUAUUGGUCAAUGGGCGCGAGCCUGAACCAGCCAAGUAGCGUGAAGGAUGACUGCCCUACGGGUUGUAAACUUCUUUUGUAAAGGAAUAAAGUGAGGCACGUGGGCCUUUUUGUAUGUACUUUAUGAAUAAGGAUCGGCUAACUCCGUGCCAGCAGCCGCGGUAAUACGGAGGAUCCGAGCGUUAUCCUGAUUUAUUGGGUUUAAAGGGAGCGUAGAUGGGUUGUUAAGUCAGUUGUGAAAGUUUGUGGCUCAACCGUAAAAUUGCAAUUGAUACUGUCAGUCUUGAGUGCAGUAGAGGUAGGCGGAAUUCGUGGUGUAGCGGUGAAAUGCUUAGAUAUCACGAAGAACUCCGAUGGCGAAGGCAGCUUACUAAACUGUAACUGACAUUGAUGCUCGAAAGUGUGGGUAGCAAACAGGAUUAGAUACCCUUGUAGUC